rnacentral:lncRNA from 1 species
GGUGUGUGCGGGGCUGCACGUGUCCCCGUGCACCCGUGGCUGUGUCCCUGUGUGCACACGUGUCCCCGUGGUACCCCCGCGUGUCCCUGCAUCCGCAGGGAAGCGGGGCCGUGGGGGGCUGUGUCCCUAUGCCUGGCAUUGUCCCACUCCCGGUGCCGGUCCCAGUCUUGGUGCUGGUGCCUGUCCCUGUCCUGCUGCCGGUGAUGGUCCCGCUGCCCAUCCUCGUCCCUGUCCCUCUCCCAGUCCCUGUCCUCGUCCCGGUCCCCAUUGCCAUCCCUGGCCUGGUGCCGGUCCUUGCCUCUGUCCCCGUCCUGGUGCCCAUCCUGCACCUGGCCCUUGUCCCUGUGUCGGCCCUGGUCCCUGGUCCCUGCCCCUAUCGCCAUCCUGGUCCCUGUCACUGUCACUGUCUGGGUCCUGGUCCCUGUCCCAGUGCUGGUCCCGGUUCCCAUCCCUGUCCCCAUCCCUGUCCCCAUCCUGGUCCCUUUCCCGGUGCCUCUCCUGGUCCCUGUCCUAGUCCCCAUCCCCGUCCCGGUCCAGGUCCCUGUCUGGGUCCAGGUCCCGGUUCCCGUCCCUGUCCCCAUCCCGGUCCCUGCUCCUUGUCCCUCUCCCGGUCCCGGUCCAGGUCCCUGUCUGGGUCCAGGUCCCUCUCCCGGUCCUGGUGCCUGUUCCCGUCCCUGUCCCCAUCCCGCUCCCUGCUCCCUGUCCCUCUCCCGGUCCCUGUCCUUGCCCCAUCCCCAUGCCCAUCCAGGUCCCGGUCCCAGUCCAGGUCCCUGUCCCUGUCCCGGUCUCUGUCCUUGUUCCUGUCCCAUUCCCUGUCCUGUUCCCUGUCCCGGUCUCUGUCCCGUUCCCUGUCCCGGUCCAGGUCCCGGUGCCUGUCCUUGUCCUUGUCCCUGUCCCUCUCCCGUUCCCGUUCCCUGUCCCGUUCCCCGUCCCGUUCCCUAUCCCGGUCCCGGUGCUGGUCCUGGUGCCUGCCCUUGUCCCUGUCCCUGUCCCGUUCCCUGUCCCCAUCCCGGUCCCUGUCCCGUUCCCUGUCUCCAUCCCUGUCCCCGUCCCGUCCCCUGUCCCCAUCCCAUUCCCGUUCCCGUUCCCAGUCCCGGUCCCGGUGCCGGCGCCUGUCCCUGUCCCUCUCCCUGUCCCGUUCCCGUUCCCGUCCCCUGUCCCCGUCCCGUUCCCGUUCCCUAUCCCGGUGCCGGUGCCGCGGGGGUCUCUGAGCCCCCCGGGUCGGGUCCNNNNNNNNNNNN